rnacentral:rRNA from 1 species
UACGGAGGGGGCUAGCGUUGUUCGGAAUUACUGGGCGUAAAGCGCACGUAGGCGGCUACUCAAGUCAGAGGUGAAAGCCCGGAGCUCAACUCCGGAACUGCCUUUGAAACUAGGUAGCUUGAACACGGGAGAGGUGAGUGGAAUUCCGAGUGUAGAGGUGAAAUUCGUAGAUAUUCGGAAGAACACCAGUGGCGAAGGCGGCUCACUGGACCGUUGUUGACGCUGAGGUGCGAAAGCGUGGGGAGCAAACAGG